rnacentral:tRNA from 1 species
AGAAGUUGUGAGGACAAGAAAAAGCUUCUAACUUUUUAUAGGUGGUUCGACUCCAUUAACUUCUU